AAUGAAGUGCCUGAAAAAAAGGAUUAUCUUGAUAGGAUAAAAAAUGUAAUAAAUUACCUUCAUUA
rnacentral:tRNA from 1 species